UACGUAGGGUGCGAGCGUUAAUCGGAAUUACUGGGCGUAAAGCGUGCGCAGGCGGUUGUGCUAGACAGAUGUGAAAUCCCCGGGCUCAACCUGGGAACUGCAUUUGUGACUGCACGGCUGGAGUGCGGCAGAGGGGGAUGGAAUUCCGCGUGUAGCAGUGAAAUGCGUAGAUAUGCGGAGGAACACCGAUGGCGAAGGCAAUCCCCUGGGCCUGCACUGACGCUCAUGCACGAAAGCGUGGGGAGCAAACAGG
rnacentral:rRNA from 1 species